GAUGAACGCUGGCGGCGUGCCUAAUACAUGCAAGUCGAGCGAAUAGACGAGGAGCUUGCUCCUCUGACGUUAGCGGCGGACGGGUGAGUAACACGUGGAUAACCUACCUAUAAGACUGGGAUAACUUCGGGAAACCGGAGCUAAUACCGGAUAAUAUAUUGAACCGCAUGGUUCAAUAGUGAAAGACGGUUUUGCUGUCACUUAUAGAUGGAUCCGCGCCGCAUUAGCUAGUUGGUAAGGUAACGGCUUACCAAGGCAACGAUGCGUAGCCGACCUGAGAGGGUGAUCGGCCACACUGGAACUGAGACACGGUCCAGACUCCUACGGGAGGCAGCAGUAGGGAAUCUUCCGCAAUGGGCGAAAGCUUGACGGAGCAACGCCGCGUGAGUGAUGAAGGUCUUCGGAUCGUAAAACUCUGUUAUCAGGGAAGAACAAAUGUGUAAGUAACUAUGCACGUCUUGACGGUACCUAAUCAGAAAGCCACGGCUAACUACGUG
rnacentral:rRNA from 1 species